rnacentral:rRNA from 1 species
GACGAACGCUGGCGGCGUGCCUAAUACAUGCAAGUCGAGCGAAGUUUUUCUGGUGCUUGCACUAGAAAAACUUAGCGGCGAACGGGUGAGUAACACGUAAAGAACCUGCCUCAUAGACUGGGACAACUAUUGGAAACGAUAGCUAAUACCGGAUAACAGUAUUUCUCGCAUGAGAGAUAUUUAAAAGUUGGUUAUGCUAACACUAUGAGAUGGCUUUGCGGUGCAUUAGCUAGUUGGUGGGGUAAAGGCCCACCAAGGCGACGAUGCAUAGCCGACCUGAGAGGGUGAUCGGCCACACUGGGACUGAGACACGGCCCAGACUCCUACGGGAGGCAGCAGUAGGGAAUCUUCCGCAAGGGGCGAAAGCCUGACGGAGCAACGCCGCGUGAGUGAAGAAGGAUUUCGGUUCGUAAAGCUCUGUUGUUAGGGAAGAAUGGAUAUGUAGUAACUAUACAUGUAAGAGACGGUACCUAACCAGAAAGCCACGGCUAACUACGU